rnacentral:rRNA from 1 species
AUGUACAUUCUUACAUCAUAGCGUUAAUUCACCAGAUCCCAUUAUAACUUCGUAGUUAAGCAUGCUCGGGAUAGAGUAGUACCAGGAUGGGUGACCACCUGGGAAGUCCUAGUAUUUUACAUG